GAUGAAGAACGCAGCGAAAUGCGAUAAGUAGUGUGAAUUGCAGAAUUCAGUGAAUCAUCGAAUCUUUGAACGCACAUUGCGCCCCUUGGUAUCCCGAGGGGCAUGCCUGUUCGAGCGACAUUUCACCACUCAAGCCUGGCUUGGUGUUGGGCGACGUCCUCUUUGGGGACGCGCCUCGAAACGCUCGGCGGCGUGGCACCGGCUUUAAGCGUAGCAGAAUCUUUCGCUUUGGAAGUCGGGGCCCCGUCUGCCGGAAGACCUGCUCGCAAGGUUGACCUCGGAUCAGGCAGGGAUACCCGCUGAACUUAAGCAUAUCAAUAAGCGGAGGA
rnacentral:misc_RNA from 1 species